rnacentral:rRNA from 1 species
GUAGGGAAUAUUGCGCAAUGGGGGAAACCCUGACGCAGCGACGCCGCGUGAGUGAUGAAGGCCUUCGGGUCGUAAAGCUCUGUUGCAGGGGAAUAAAAAAAUGAAGGUACCCUGUGAGGAAGGAUCGGCUAACUUCGUGCCAGCAGCCGCGGUAAGACGAGGGAUCCUAGCGUUGCUCGGAAUCAUUGGGCGUAAAGUGGGCGUAGGUGGCUUGGUAAGUCAGGUGUGAAAGCCCAGGGCUCAACCCUGGAAGUGCAUUUGAUACUGCUGAGCUUGAGUGUCGGAGAGGUUGCCGGAAUACCCGGUGUAGUGGUGAAAUACGUAGAUAUCAGGUGGAACGCCGGAGGCGAAGGCGGGUAACUGGACGAACACUGACACUGAGGCCCGAAAGCGUGGGGAUCAAACAGGAUUAGAAACCCCUGUAGUCC